UCUCCGUAGGUGAACCUGCGGAGGGAUCAUUACAGAGUUCUCGCCCUCGCGGGUAGAUCUCCCACCCACUGUUAUCGUUACUGUGUUGCUUUGGCGGGCCGCCGGGCCCCGCUCGGCCGCCGGCUCCGGCUGGCGCGCGCCCGCCAGAGGCCCAGCAAACUCUGAAUGUUAGUGUCGUCUGAGUACUAUAUAAUAGUUAAAACCUUCAACAACGGAUCUCUUGGUUCUGGCAUCGGUGAAGAACGCAGC
rnacentral:misc_RNA from 1 species